rfam:Lupinus angustifolius cultivar Tanjil contig_23422, whole genome shotgun sequence.
AGGUGCGAUCAUACCAGCACUAAUACACCGCAUCCCAUCAAAACCUCGCAGUCAAGCGUGCUUGGGCGAGAGUUGUACUAGGAUGGGUGACCUCCUGGGAAGUCCUCGUGUUGCACCUC